rnacentral:rRNA from 2 species
UGCUUGCAUCAUGAUUUACAUUUGAGUGAGUGGCGAACUGGUGAGUAACACGUGGGAAACCUGCCCAGAAGCGGGGGAUAACACCUGGAAACAGAUGCUAAUACCGCAUAACAACUUGGACCGCAUGGUCCGAGCUUGAAAGAUGGCUUCNGCUAUCACUUUUGGAUGGUCCCGCGGCGUAUUAGCUAGAUGGUGGGGUAACGGCUCACCAUGGCAAUGAUACGUAGCCGACCUGAGAGGGUAAUCGGCCACAUUGGGACUGAGACACGGCCCAAACUCCUACGGGAGGCAGCAGUAGGGAAUCUUCCACAAUGGACGAAAGUCUGAUGGAGCAACGCCGCGUGAGUGAAGAAGGGUUUCGGCUCGUAAAACUCUGUUGUUAAAGAAGAACAUAUCUGAGAGUAACUGUUCAGGUAUUGACGGUAUUUAACCAGAAAGCCACGGCUAACUACGUGCCAGCAGCCGCGGUAAUACGUAGGUGGCAAGCGUUGUCCGGAUUUAUUGGGCGUAAAGCGAGCGCAGGCGGUUUUUUAAGUCUGAUGUGAAAGCCUUCGGCUCAACCGAAGAAGUGCAUCGGAAACUGGGAAACUUGAGUGCAGAAGAGGACAGUGGAACUCCAUGUGUAGCGGUGAAAUGCGUAGAUAUAUGGAAGAACACCAGUGGCGAAGGCGGCUGUCUGGUCUGUAACUGACGCUGAGGCUCGAAAGUAUGGGUAGCAAACAGGAUUAGAUACCCUGGUAGUCCAUACCGUAAACGAUGAAUGCUAAGUGUUGGAGGGUUUCCGCCCUUCAGUGCUGCAGCUAACGCAUUAAGCAUUCCGCCUGGGGAGUACGGCCGCAAGGCUGAAACUCAAAGGAAUUGACGGGGGCCCGCACAAGCGGUGGAGCAUGUGGUUUAAUUCGAAGCUACGCGAAGAACCUUACCAGGUCUUGACAUACUAUGCAAAUCUAAGAGAUUAGACGUUCCCUUCGGGGACAUGGAUACAGGUGGUGCAUGGUUGUCGUCAGCUCGUGUCGUGAGAUGUUGGGUUAAGUCCCGCAACGAGCGCAACCCUUAUUAUCAGUUGCCAGCAUUAAGUUGGGCACUCUGGUGAGACUGCCGGUGACAAACCGGAGGAAGGUGGGGAUGACGUCAAAUCAUCAUGCCCCUUAUGACCUGGGCUACACACGUGCUACAAUGGAUGGUACAACGAGUUGCGAACUCGCGAGAGUAAGCUAAUCUCUUAAAGCCAUUCUCAGUUCGGAUUGUAGGCUGCAACUCGCCUACAUGAAGUCGGAAUCGCUAGUAAUCGCGGAUCAGCAUGCCGCGGUGAAUACGUUCCCGGGCCUUGUACACACCGCCCGUCACACCAUGAGAGUUUGUAACACCCAAAGUCGG